rnacentral:tRNA from 1 species
GGGGUGUAGCUCAGUGGUAAAGCACUUGCCUAAAAUACAUGAGAUCCUGGGUUCAUUCCCCAGUACUGCCA